rnacentral:lncRNA from 1 species
UGAUUCUUAUAUGAAUACAGAUCUGCCAAAGCUAAACAAAAAAGGCAAACAGAAUCUCCAAUUUAACAACCGAUCAAACUCAACAUGACUAUAUAACCAACCCAGUGCGCUGAAAACAAAGAUCGAGUUAAUUAUAUCAAGCAUCUUUCCAAUGUAGACUUAUCACAUUAAUUACACCAAAUACAUAUUCAAACAAUUCAUACUUUCUUCAAGUUUCAAGAGAUUUCGCUGGAAAAAUUCAAUACACACAAAAUGGGACACAAAAUGCAACAAAAUCAGCAAGUAGCUUCAAGAUUCAAUCAAAUUUCGAACAUAGAAACAAAGACGUAUUUCUUUAAUUGGUUCGAUGUGCAAGCAAUUACAAGUCAAAUUCGAAUAGCAAUAGCAACAGAGAAUUCCACCGUGAACCUCGAACAAGUGACUCGAAAUCGGCAAAUUCAACCUCCGACUCAUCUAAACUCCAUUUUCUAGUUCUUGUUCCUAUUUUUCUAUGCGAAAAUCCUUGAAAUUUUCCCCCAACUUUUUGUUCUUUAACUUCCGUUUCUUCUUAGCGGUGAGUGGUCGGCGGAAUUAGUGGUGGAGUUGAAGAGAUGAAAAGGGUCCUGGUUGAGGUCCGCUCCGGCAAGUUUGGGUGGAAACGGGCGGCGAGGUGAGAUGGGGUGAGGGAGCUGCUGUUGGUUUUACCAAUGGUGAAAGGGGUAGGUGUUUGGUUGAAGAAAGCAUAACGGACGGGGUCAUUUAGGGUUCUCGUUGUUGAAGAGGACGAUCGUCGGGGGAGGGUCUGUCCUUGAUUUAAAAACAUUGAUCUUCUAUAUGAAUUAGGUCUUGUAUUCUCUGAUAGCUUAGGUCCAAACGGCUGAUGUAUCUUUUUUGUGAAGGUUUUAGGCGUUAGAUCUAGGGUAGUAUAGGUCUAGGUCUAAUUUUCGGUUAUAUAGAGAUGAUUUUUAGGUUAGCGGGUAUAAGUUUGAUAUUAUUGAGCCUUAAAAUUGAGUUAAAGACAAA